UACGUAGGGUCCGAGCGUUAUCCGGAAUCAUUGGGCGUAAAGAGCUCGUAGGCGGUUCAGCAAGUCGGCUGUGAAAGUCCGGGGCUCAACCCCGGAAUUGCAGUCGAUACUGCUGUGACUCGAGUCCGGUAGAGGAGAACGGAAUUCCCGGUGUAGCGGUGAAAUGCGCAGAUAUCAGGAGGAACACCGAUGGCGAAGGCAGGUCUCUGGGCCACUACUGACGCUGAGAAGCGAAAGCAUGGGGAGCGAACAGG
rnacentral:rRNA from 1 species